UGCGUAGGUGGCGUGUUAAGUGUGAUGUUAAAUCGUGGGGCUCAACCCUGUCGGUGCAUCACAUACUGGCAUGCUAGAGGACAGCAGAGGCAAGUGGAAUUUGUAGUGUAGCAGUGAAAUGCGUAGAUAUUACAAGGAACACCAAUGGCGAAGGCAGCUUGCUGGGCUACUCCUGACACUGAGGUACGAAAGCGUGGGGAGCGAACAGGAUUAGAUACCCUGGUAGUCCACGCCGUAAACGAUGCAUACUAGACGUAUGGGGUAUCGACCCCCUGUGCGUCGAAGCUAACGCGAUAAGUAUGCCGCCUGGGAAGUACGGCCGCAAGGCUAAA
rnacentral:rRNA from 1 species